CCAGUGUGUGUCACAGUUAGUUUCAGCAGGAUUCUGCAGGAUUUAGAUUUAGAGAAGGUCUCCUCUCAUGAUGGAUAUUUCUUUUUUAUCUUUUUUAUUAUAUUUCUUUUAGUUUUAUAUUCUGAGCAGUCUGGAGCUCCAGCUGAAGGAUUUAGAUUUAGAGAACGUCUCCUCUCAUGGUGGAUAUCUGCUUUAUAUUCUGAGCAGUCUGGAGCUCCAGCUGAAGAGAAACGACUGAGAGGACUUAAAGCUGGGACAGACUGAGCACGCUCAGUGGCUGCUUCACCUGGACCACCUCACACAGCUGACAGACACACAGGAUCACAUGGUGCAGAGACCUGGACUACGAAGCAAGAUUUGGCGUUACCGAGGUAACUUCAGGUUCAACCAGGGUGUUCUGUACCA